CUGUGUGUGUACGUCAGGGAGAACGUGGAUUCUGGGUGUGGGUUUUUUGUGCGAGGCAUGACUAAAUACUGGUUUCCCAUCAAGUCACCCCACCUAUAUAUAUAUAAAUCUAUAUCACACAGACAAACAGAGAAUCAUUUCACAGGUUCACCAUCAGUAGAAUCACCACGAUUCAACUGACAGAGUUCCCUGAGGACUUAACUGAAAUUGGGCUAACUACAAUUGGGAUCGGCCAUCUGCAUACUAGGAUCAUAUCCUUCAACUAAGGAAAUGUGGGGGAAAAUCACUGCUAUGGUCAUUGUGAUUCUUGCAUUCGCUGCAAUUGGAGCUACACAGUCAAAUACUCUAGGAACAACAAGACUAACAACAAAUGAAGCGACACAAUCAACCACAAAAGCAGCAACACAAUCAACCACAAAUGAAACCCAUC